rnacentral:rRNA from 1 species
GACUCAACAGGUGGAUCACUCAGCUCGUGCGUCGAACGCAUCUAGCUGCGAGAAUUAAUGUGAAUUGCAAGGACACAUUGAUCAUUGACACUUUGAACGCACUUUCAACCGCGGGUUUCUCCUGGGGCUACGCUUGAGUGUCG